CCGAGUCCCUCCCCCAUUCGCUUAUUAUGCAAGACUCUUUUCUACUAUUGGCUGGAAUUACAAAGGCGGUACUUUGCUGUAACCAAUAAGAAGGCGGACUUGAAACAUUUAAACGUUACACACUCCCUGUUUUUGUCCUCGUUGGCGCCAUAUUUUACUGAUAGCUUCACGUUCGCUCCGACAUUCAUUCAUAAAGGUCAUGUUGCCAUACCAACAGCUGUACUUUGUAGAGUUGAUGGCUCUGUAUGCAAAACAGAUAAAAUGCCUUUAAGAGAAGAGCUGUGGGCAAUAAUGGAUGGAUGGAUUGAGACCCAAUGACGGACUUGCAAUUAUAAAAAACAAUGUGUCCUUGGUUUAUGAAAUGUAGCUGCUAGCUCCUUGAAUAAAGCACAAACAGAUGAUA